GUGUCAGCAGCCGCGGUAAAACGUAGGAGGCAAACGUUAUCCGGAUUUACUGGGCGUAAAGCGCGUGUAGGUGGUUUGGUAAGUAGGGCGUGAAAGCUCCUGGCUCAACUGGGAGAGGUCGUUCUAAACUGCCGGACUAGAGGAUGGUAGAGGGAAGUGGAAUUCCGGGUGUAGCGGUGGAAUGCGCAGAUAUCCGGAGGAACACCAGUGGCGAAAGCGGCUUCCUGGACCAACCCUGACACUCAGACGCGAAAGCUAGGGUAGCAAACGGGAUUAGAAACCCGAGUAGUCC
rnacentral:rRNA from 1 species